UACGUAGGGUGCAAGCGUUAAUCGGAAUUACUGGGCGUAAAGCGUGCGCAGGCGGUUGUGUAAGACAGAUGUGAAAUCCCCGGGCUCAACCUGGGAAUGGCAUUUGUGACUGCACGGCUAGAGUGUGUCAGAGGGGGGUAGAAUUCCACGUGUAGCAGUGAAAUGCGUAGAUAUGUGGAGGAAUACCGAUGGCGAAGGCAGCCCCCUGGGAUAACACUGACGCUCAUGCACGAAAGCGUGGGGAGCAAACAGG
rnacentral:rRNA from 1 species